UAUCUUCAAUACUCGACAAUCUCUUUAUGAAGUUGUGACAAUCUCCACAUAUCCUCAAGUUCUUCAUCACCCUUAUCGUAGUCCCAGGAGGCGUGUUUAUAAGCCCGAAAGCAAUAGCUAACCGUUCACUGUGAUGCAUCAAUGCUUUCUCUUUAGCUUCUUCAUCGAUAUCAUGAAGAACAUACUUAGUAUCUGGUACAUAGCCUGCGUCUCUCACUUCUUUUCCUAAAGAUUUCAGCUUCACUAAGGCCUUGCUCCUAUCUACAAUAGCUUUCUUCUGGCUUGAAAUCUCCUGCUUAUCUCCUUUAAUCUUUGUCGAGCGAUCAGAGCUUAUCCUUUUCUUGGGUUCGACAACUUCACUGUCACCUGCGAUUCUCUUUGCUCCCGAGGUGAUGAUUCGGUGAAAUGAUGAGGUUUCUUUCUCAAAGGGGAUUGCUUUGGGGACAGGGAAUGAGCAAAACCUAAUGGAGAAAGCAGUAUCCAGAGCCAUCAAUCCAAGAAGCAGAUAAGCUUUCUUUGGAGGUGAAAAUUUUACAGUAUGGAGAGAGAAAAAGAGAGAGAGAGAGACCAAACUCUCACACAAAUAUCUACAAGAAGCAGACAAGGUCACAAACAGCCAAACAAAAUCCUCUGUUUUCUUAUUAGCACCAGGUCCACAAAAAGUUUCCUGCAUAACCCACAAUCUCAUAAAUCAUAUUUUAGAUGUGUAACAAGAAUCAUUGAAGCAUUAGUGCAAAAUGCUAACUGAAGAACAUUGAUAGAGACUGCAAUGAUCACUAAGCAUACCAAGUCAGAAUACUGUUUGCUUUUAAUUUGAAUACUGUUUGAUGACAUUCUGAAUACGUGAAAUCUUCAAUAAGCAAUUUAGGAUCCAAGUUUGAAGCUAUAUCUAUCAAACCCUGUUUAGGUACUUGAAUGGAGACGAAGAUAUCCCUGAAACUGAUGACAAUUGGGAUACUUGGGUUCUUCAAUGAGCGAUUUAGGAUCCAAGCUAGGCUUAAAACUUGACGAUGGGCUUCAAUUGAUGACUUAUACCUUCAAACUUGGAUCCUAAAUUGCUUACUGAAGAAUUCACGUAUUCAGAAUGUCAUCAAUUUCAGGGACAUUUCGUCUCCGUUUAAGAACCUUAUCAUCAUUCCGUUGCAGCCAAAUCAGGAAACACAUCAACCAAAUGGUCAUCCAAAAGAUUAACUUCGUCGACAAAGAGAAUCCAAAUGUUUAGCUUCGUCCACAUUGGCUUUAGCUAGUAGUCAAAAAAUGGCAUAGCUUCAUCUCCUAUUGUCCAAAAUAGUAGCAAAGUGAUAAACCGGCCUCACACUUUCCUUUGAAUCAAUCUUUGCCUAAACCAAAAAACAAAUGUCUUAGCCAAACAUUUCACAAAAACAAAACAACUUCAACUGUUCGAAUAUAAAAAACAUUGUACUUCUUAUCUAUCAAUCAACAAACAUAUGAUUCUAGGUCACAGAUCAUACUAAGAUCUUAUACAAUUUUGCAGACGGAAAUAGAUCACAACAGAACACACAAACCUAUUAUCUAACUAAAUACAAUGUUGAGAAUCCUGAGAUAAAGAACACAUGGACCCAAACUCGAGUUUAAACCAUCAAGACAAGAACCUUUGAUGGAGAAAAUUGAGGAUAGAACACGAAUUACGAUCUCCUCCAGACAACCACAUUCACUCAAGCCAGCCACACAUCCUUACUGAUUAAUUUUCAUAAAAAAAAAAACAGAGGAAGAGUCAAUGUGUUGUUGAGAUAGUUUGACCUGACCAGGGCCAUGGUAAGUGACUUCACCACCACCUUAAAUUCGAUAGACAUCGAAAGGAGCAUUCUUUAUAUCGAAAUUGAGAUCAAGUUUUGCUCUUUUGGGUAGAGAUGGUUGAGUUUUGGAGUAGAGGCGCAGACACCGAGUAAAAUUUAUGAGGGUAAUUUCGGAAUAUUAGAAUACUAUUAGGGGUAAUUUAGUCUUUACCUCAUUGACAUUUGAGUUUCGCCCUAGUUUUUGAGUUUAUGUAAGCGAAGAGUUUUCGCACGUCAAACAGAAUCGAACAUGGCUAAACCACAUCUAUGCUUUUGUUUCAUCAUCUUUUUAUACAUUUUCUCGGGUAAUUUAAGACAAUAUAGAAGAGAUAACCAAUUUUCUAAUGAAAUUGGUUUGGAGACAAUCCAACGGUUAUAUCUUCAGAUAACCUCGAUGCACUAAAGACAGUAAAUACAGUCUCGAGGGAGACCAUGAGUCGUGACCGCAGCCAAACCAUGUUUCCCCGCGGAUACAACCACUGCGACCGCGGCCAGUUGAUCAUGUCAUUAUUGUUGAAGCUCUAAGUGUCCAAGACAACUCUACAAGCUAUAAAUACCUCCUUUAAGUCAUUUUGAGAGGGUGUGCAGAGAGAUUUGUGUGUGUGCCUCAUUUUACAGAAACCCUAGAGAGAAGCCGUCUUGGAGCCAUUGAGGAGAGCAUCAUAUCGCCUCCACCGUCGACUCUGUUUUCUAGUUCUUCUUCCUUGUUCUAUUUAAUUUUCAGCGAUUUUCUAUUACUCUAUGAUGUUUACAUACGCCAUGUCUGAGUAGUUUCCCAGUUGGGUUUAAAUGGAUUUUUCAAAGGGAAUUUCAUGUGUUUUUUCUAUGAAUCACUACAUUUAGGAUUUAUAAUCUUCUAGGUGUUCUUUGACCAAAAAAAAAAUCUUCUAGGUGUUUUUCGUUUACCUUUAUACUUAUUGUGUGAUUCUUUUCUGGCCACUUAGAAUGCGAUUUUGAUGACUGGUGUUGCGAAAGUUUUCAUUAGUUGUCUGACAUAGGGUGAAACGAGCAAUUCUGCCAUAGGAGUGGAAACCCACCUAUGAAUGAGUUGUGAAUGUAGAUGAAUCUUGUUCAAACUAUUGCGUACAAUUAUGGCUGGGGCUAGAGUCGAAAGCUAUUGGUCAGGGUCAUGAUUGACAGUUAGUUAGUGCUGCGAGAGUAGGCUAGUCAUACUACCGUGCUCAAUUCCUAGAACAUCCCUAGUCGAUUACAUUAAUUAUUUAUUUCUGUAAUUAGGUUUAUUCCAUGAAUCCCUGUGAAUAUCCUCAAGUCCAGUGUUCGUUUUUAUUUGUUUACACCUUUGAUUUUUACUUGCCUUUACUUGCUUUCAUUUUCAAUUGUUUUUUACUUACCUUCUAGUUUAGAUUUAGUGACAUCCAAACAAACAACCCAAAUUGUUUAGUUCUAGUCUGAUUUAAGCAUUAGCGUGAAUUUGUACUGAAGAAAUUAAGUAUUUGUGGAUCGAAACCCUAAGUACUACAACACACAUAUGUGCACUUGCAGACAUUAAGGGGUUAUAAAUUUAGAACAUGAAGGUUAGUAAACACACCCCCGUUUUCCAUUGCAUCAGCCUACAUUGUCUAUCUCGGUUCAAAUCCGAUUGCAUGGUCUUCUAAAAAGUAGAAGUUGGUGGAUUGCUCUUCUACAAAAGCCGAAUACCGAGCAGUUGCGGACAUGCACUACAAGAAAAGAAUCGUUUUCCAAUGGUCUGUUAUGACGGUUUAUAAAUCGUCGCAAAUAUACAACGAUUUUACGACGAUUUUACGAGAAAAAAAGAACGUCGUAAAACAGUCGUAAAAACAAAUCCUCGUAACUUCGACGUAUAAUCUACGACGCUUUACGACGAUUAUACAUCGAGAAAGAGAUAUUUGAUAUUUAAUGCAAAAUCGUCGUAAAAUGGAUGUAACGUUACGACGAACUUACGACUAUUAAAAUCUGAUGUACAGUUACGAUGAUUUUACGUCGACAAAGAAGGUAUGCGAAAAACAUUUAAAACAUGUUCACCUAACUAAUGUCGAUGAAAUAUUUUAUCGCACAAUCAACGUAAAAUCGUCGUAAUAUGAAGGUUGGAUGUAAAAUUGAUGUAAAAAACCAUCGUAAAAACGUCGUAAAGUCCGAAAUUUAGUUAUAAAUACAUUUUCAUUUCUUCUUUCAUUCACAACACAUCAUCAUUCAAACAUAAGAACAUCAGCAUCCUGGAGACCCAUUUUAGGUCUCUUAAACCUUAUUAUAGUGUUUUAAAACCCGAUAUAAUGGGUUGUCCAUUGCUGGAAACUCGAAUGAGUAGUAAUUUCUUUGAAAAAAGAAGUAAUAAUAUAAAAAGGAUUCUCCAUUCACGCGGCUACACGUGACACAAGAGACCCUCUCUUAUAUUGUCUAAGCAAUAGAGAGAGAUAGUUUUUUGAGUUAUUUUCAAGAUGUCUAUAUACGAACUAAGAAGCUGGAUGUAUAUGCGUAAAGAUUCAGAUGGGUGUUGACAAAAAAAUUCAAGAACGGAUUAGAAAUAUUCAUGUAUCAGGCCACAAAUAUGGAGAGAACAAAAGAAAGCAGGAAGAUGUUUUGUCCUUGUUUGAAAUGCAAGAAUACAAGGUAUACACUAACCAAAACCGUGUGGACGCAUUUAUUAAAUAGAGGGUUUUUGCUGCAAUAUUUUGUUUGGUAUCUACAUGGAGAAGGAUAUGGCAGUAAUACUCAUGGGCAUGCUGGUAGUAGUAGUAAUUAUCAAAGUCAUGUUGAUUUUGAUGAAUCAAAUUAUGGUUAUCAGCCUAAUCAUUAUCAAUCUGAUCAAGGUCUAGAUCAUGAUAGGAUGCAUGAGAUGGUGACUGAUGCAUUUCAUGAAACGUAUACUGGUAAUGCCUGUUGAGGAACCUAAUGUAGAUGCCAAACGAUUUUAUGAUUUGUUAGACAAUUGUAAUCAGCCAAUCUACGAAGGAUGUAGAGAAGGUCUGUCUAAAUUAUCGUUGGCAGCUAGGAUGAUGUCAAUUAAAACAGAUCAUAACUUGGCUGAGGUUUGCAUGGAUGAUUGGGCUGAUAUUCUGAAAGAGUAUCUACCGGAGGAUAACUUGGCAGCGGCAACAUACUAUGAAAUACAGAAGUUGAUAUUUAGUCUUGGUCUACCUUCUGAGAUGAUAGAUGUAUGUGUUGACAAUUGUAUGAUUUUCUGGAGAGAUGAUGAUCAGCUGGAGGAAUGUCGAUUUUACCAAAAACCAAGAUACAGGCCAUAAACUGGUGGGCGUAAAAGGAUACCGUACCAACGUAUGCGGUAUCUCCCUAUAACUGAUAGGUUGAAACGGUUUUAUCAAUCUGAAAAGACAGCUGCAUCAAUGAGAUGGCAUGCGGAACAUACACAAGUAGAUGGAAAAGUUGUUCAUCCAUCAGAUGCAAAGGCCUGGAAAUACUUCAAUACGGUAUACCCAGAUUUUGCUAAGUUCAAACGGAAUAUCUAUCUUGGUAUGUGCAUUGAUGCUUUUAGUUCAUUUGGUAUGUCUGGUAGACAAUAUUCAUUAUAGCCAGUAAUCCUAACCCCGUAUAACCUUCCUCCAGAUAUCUGCAUGCAAAGGAAAUUUCUUUUCCUUAGUAUUUUGGUUCCAGGUCCUAAUCAUCUGAAGUGAGCUCUCGAUGUAUUUCUGCAGCCACUUAUACAUGAGUUGAAUCAGUUAUGCUAUACCGGCGUUCGCACAUAUGACUGUUCAACGGGAAAAACUUUUACUCUGCGGACUGUGCUUAUGUGGACAAUAAGCGAUUUCCCUGCUUAUGGUAUGCUAUCAGGAUGGACUACACAUGGGAGGUUAUCUUGUCCUUAUUGUCUUGAUCGAACUGAUGUGUUUCAGCUAAAACAUGGUAGAAAAACUUGUUGGUUUGAUUGUCACCGCAGGUUUUUACCGGAUAACCAUCCAUAUCGGAGGAACAAGAAGUUAUUUAGGAAGAACAAAAGUGUAUGUGUCCCUCCACCCAUAAAUUUAACAAGAGCUGAUAUACAUGUGCAAAUCGAGCAUUGGGGGGCAGAGAAAACAGUAAUGCAUGGGGGAAACUGGCACACUCCUGCAAAUAUGCCUAAAGAUUAUGGAGUUCAUCAUAAUUGGCAUAUGAAAAGUAUUUUUGGCAAUUAUCCUAUUGGAAAGAUCAUCUGCUCAGACACAAUCUGAUGUCAUGCACAUUGAGAAAAACUUGUUUGAUAACAUCAUGCAUACAGUUUUGAACGUAAUGGGAAGAACAAAAGACUAUGGUAAGUCCAGAUUGGACUUGCCUGAUUUAUGCAACAGAAGUGAGUUGCAUAUAUUGAGAAACGGGAAAGAACCAGUUCCUGUAUUUCGGUUGAGUGCAGAUCAGAAGUCAGCAUUGUUCAAAUGGGUUUCAUCUGACGUUAACUUUCCUGAUGGGUAUGUUUCUAAUCUUUCUAAAUCUGUUGAGAAUGGGGUAAAGUUUGCCGGGAUGAAAAGUCAUGACUGUCACGUGUUUAUGCAAUGAUUAUUUUCAUUUGCAUUUGCUGAACUCUUGCCCAAAAAUGUCCAUGAAGCUGUUGGAGGUAAAAUAAUUACUACUUAACUACACUCUAGCUAUUCUUAUUAUACUUGUACAUAUUAAAAUUUUAUCUAAUAUUAUGUAUAUGUACAUAUGAAGACAUUGGUGCUUUUUCCGGGAUCUUAGUACACGAACAUUAUCAGCUGAUGUAAUAGCACAACUGGCAUCAAAUAUUCCAAUCUUGUUGUGCAAUUUGGAAAAGAUCUUUCCGCCAUCAUUUUUUGAUGUUAUGGAAAAUCUUCCUGUUCAUCUCCCUUAUGAAGAAUAGCUCGGUGGACCGUUUCAGUACAGGUGGAUGUAUCCGUUCGAGCGUUUCAUGAAGCAUCUUAAGGGUAAAGCCAAAAACCUAGCUAAAGUGAAAGGUUCAAUUGUGGCGGGAAGCUUGACACAAGAGACUUUGCACUUCACCUCGUACUAUUUUGCACUAAAAGUACGAGCACGCAAAAGAGCUACUCGUCGAUAUGAUGAUGGAGAAGUAGGCCAAACAUAUGCAGUUGAGGGUGUACCUGAUAUAUUCUCGCCGAUCGGACGUCUUAGUGGAAAAAUGAAAGGAGUUUGGUGGUCCAAUGAAAAAUAUUAUUACAGUGCACAUACGUAUAUCCUGCUAAACUGCGAAGAGUUAUCAUCAUACGAGAGGUAUAUAUUUUUUCACUAUAUUUAUAAAUCAGUCGGUCUUAUUUAUUAGUUGUUUUUGCAGCACAUUCGUUGACGAGGUUAAAGAAUGCUUCUCCGGGGUUUCUGAAACUGAAAUCAAUGAUCGUAAAGAUCAACACUUUGCCCAGUGGUUAAAAGCGCAAGUACGUAUAAAAUAUAAAUUAAAAGACUUUGAUAUCCAACAUGGUUGCAUGCAUAUUUGCAAAAUUAGGAAAUCAAAGCAAGAUUUUUCUGAUUAGGUGGACUCGAAUGAUCAGGAUGAAUUCCCAACAUGGUUCCAUGAGUUACUCCUAGGUCUGAUAGCAAAAAUAACGACAGCCUCCAUGUAUUUCACUCGGGGCUAUGUUUUUUACACAUACAAUCACGGUGCAAAGCGGGCGAAAACUAACUAUGGAGUUUGUGUGAGGGGUGAAAUAGAUUUUUAUGGAGUUCUACAAGAAAUAAUUGAAGUGGAGUAUCCUGGAUUGUUAAGGCUAAAAACUGUUCUCUUCAAAUGUGACUGGUUUGAUCCAACUGUUGGAAAAGGGGUACGACUAAACAAAUUUAGAGUUGUUGACGUGAACAAAUCACGACGGUACAACAGGUUUGAGCCAUUUAUAUUAGCUUCUCAAGCGGAACAUGUCACAUUUCUGCCAUACCCCCGAGUUCGAGCAACAGGAAUCUCAUGGUUAGCAGUAGUUAAGGUGGCUCCGAGGGGCAAGAUUGUAGGGGUUGAGGAUGUUCUACUGCAACAGGACACUUGCGUAGAUCUAACUGAAUCAGAUGUUGAUGAGAAGAUUUUCUUAAUUAACCCUCAGAACAGGCAAGUUGAAGAUGUCCCCGAUGAUACAGAAGAAGAAGGUGAUGAUGAGUUUGAUGAAACCGAGGACGAUGAUGAAGAUUUGGCGGAAGACGACGCUGAUGGUGACGAAGAACUAGAACAAGAUGAAUCUGAUUGAUUUUCAUUUUGGGGUUUUAGGGAAUGUUUGUUAUUAUAUAAUUUGUAAUUGUAUUUGUUUGAUUUUUUUUAAUGAUAAUUAUAACAAUUAUGACGGUUUUACGAUGUAUUUUUAAACCCUAAACCCCAAGUUUAGGCCUUAUACCCUGAAUGAAUAAUAUUUGAGUAUUACGACGAUUUUUCGACUAUCAGUCGUAACUUCGUCGUAACGGUCAAAUCCAAUAUUUAUAAUUCUUUAUAUCUGAUUGGUUUUUAACUUUUUCACCAAUUUUUUGAUAGAUUAUCUUAUUUUAUAUGAAAAGAAUUCAUUCUGAUAAAAAUCAGAAAUUUGAAAAAAUUCAUACAUAAUUACAAGUUCAUGCAUGUUUUUGUAAAUGGUAAGUAAAAAUUUAUAUGUUAGAUAGGAUAUUAGAAACAUUUGUUAUCUCAUUCAACAAAUCAGUCAUACAUGUAAAGUGAUGAACUUUUUAUGAUAUGAUAGUUUGAAAUCAGCUUUGCAUUGUUUUUAAUGCAAUAAUCCUCUUAAGAUAUUUAGGGUUGGAUUACUUUUUUAAAUAAGAUUGUAAAACAGUCGGAAAAUCGUCGUAAUACUACGACGUCUAUUCAUUAAACCGUCGUAAAACCGUCGUAAUGUUGAUGAUGAUCAUACCUUUGACAGCCACCAGAUUGGCUCCAGAUCCGAGGUACGAGGGUAUAAAUUCUGCGUAUUACAACGGUUUUACGACUAUAUGAUGAACAAUCGUCGUAAAAUCGUCAUAAUGCUCAAUCGCUGUGAGCAGGCCACGUGUCGUGUCAUGCACUGGGACGACUUGGUUUUACAACCAAGUCGUCGUAAAAUCGUCGUACGUAAAAUCAUCGUAACGUUACGACGAUUUUACGACGAUCACAAAAUAUAUAUAAGGGACGCGAGUUAUCCUCCUUCGUCGCUCAUUCCUCACUUCUCUCUCUCUCUACAAAUACUCUCUUUCUCUAGCUCUCCCUCCUCUCCCUCUUCUCCCUCCUCUCCAGCCUUUGUAAGUUUUUUUUUUAAGUUUUUUUCAUUUUAAUUUAUAUUUCAGUUUAAUUUUUAAUCCUUAUAUAGAUAUAAUUAGGGGAUUUAGUUAAAUUCGGAAUUUAGAUAGGCGCAGAAUUUAGAAAUAAAUUAUAUAAUUAGUAAUUAUAUUUAAUUUUGUAGUAUUCAGAUGGCUCCCCGUACCAAGAGGUUCCACUACCGGGAUAUGGUUGAUCCGGAUGCUACUGCUCCGUCCACCUCAGCUAUGAGGUCCGCCAUCCCGGAGUCCUCGAGAACAAAACGGACGGUUUCGCAACCGGUCGUUGUCCCACAACCUGCACCGCCUCCACCGCCACCACCACCAGAAGAACCAGCAGCACCAGGCCUAGCUCCGAUACAGCCUGAACCGUAUGCCCAAUAUACGGUUGAGGAUCUUCUACGGCAACCGGGUCGUGCUAGUAUGAAGAAACUCGAUCCGGAUCGAGCCCCGGGGACGUUUUGGUACGAUUUUUCGUUUUUUUUACAAAUUUUUUUAAAAAGAUUUAUAUUUAUAAUUAAUUUAAAUAUCUAACAAAUUUUUAUUUAAUGACUAGGUUUACGACCGAUAACGCAGUCGGUCGUAACGUUUCCGACAUCAUCAAGGGGUUCUUCGUACAACCCCAUACCAGCUGGAAGAAGCUGGAUCAGACAACUAUUGACACUUGGUUCAAGUGUUUCACGGUAAGUUAUUUCAAAUUACGAAUUGUUUUUUUAUUAUUAUUUUUUUACAAUAAUUACUAACUCUUUUUUUUGUAGCAAAACUGGCAUUGGGAAACUUCUGCACACGAACGUGUGAAGACGGCCUUCAAAGAGAAGGUCAAGUUCCAGCUCAACAACAUUGUUUCCAACUGGAAACGGAAGUGGGAGGUCGACUGCAACAAGGCAAAGCCGACGCCAAUGGCCGAUACCGUCUAGGAGGGUCUGGUGCACCAUUGGUUGACCCUGCACAACCAGAUUGUUGCCGCCAAGUGUUCCACAUCCAUGUUUCUUUGUAAUUUAAAUUAAUAUAUGUGUUUAUAAUAUAUUAUUAUAUUUUUAAUUACAAAUUUAAUUAAUAAAUUUUCAUUUUCAGGAAUGCUAAUGACGAUGCCGGAAAUCCAAAGAACGUCUCGCACACUUCCGGCCAGGUUCCUUUUGCCGGGAGACGACUUAUGAUGGUAAGUUUUUAAUAAUAAGUUUUUUUCAAUAAUUCUAAUUUGUCUUAUUAAAAAUUUCAAAUUGAAUUUGUAGGUCGAAGAAAACGGGGGAGAACUUCGUCCGAUGACGAAGGUCUUCACCGAGACCCAUAAGAAGAAGAACGGCGAAUUCACAGAUCCUCGGGUUCGAGGCGUUUUUCAAACGCGGCCUGUGCAAGGAUCGAGGAGCGGCAGACGCAGCUCACGCAGCAGGCACCUCCGACGUCUCCUGGAGGUAGCUCGUUCCAGUCCACACCGACCUUGACGGUGGCGGAGAUGGACCAGAUGUUCGAAGAGGUAAGUUUAAUUUACUUUAUUUUUUCCUAUUUGGUUUAAUUUUAAUUAUAUAUAUAUAUAUAUAGUGUUUUACAUAAGUUUUCUAUGUUUUUUCAGGUUGCCCCUGGGAAGAAGGGCAGGGUAUUAGGGAUGGAAUCCAUCCGUGAUAUCCCGAUCGCUACAGCGACUGGUCAUGUCCAGACAGAGGAUCCAGUCGUUAUCCGCCAGGAGUUCCACCAGAUGCGGACGCAGUACAAAAUAAAAAUCGACCAGUUGUACGGUCUCUUCGAGAUCAUGGGCGCCGACAACCCGUUGCUCCAAGCACAGCAGGCAUCUGGAGUCGUCGGAGCAUCUUCUUCAUCAUCGAGGAGGCAACCACCAUUGCAGACGGACGAGGAGAUGUUCCGGUCUCUCGGGUUGAUCCUCCUAGAGUCGGGGAUCAGGCGCCGGCGCCGGAAGCCUCCAACCAAAGAGCUGGCAGGGAAACUGCGGACCAAGAUGGGGAUCCGGAGCGAGACGAUGCGGGAAUAGACGACAUUAGUUUAGAAUUAAAUCUUUCAUAGGUUUUUGUAAUUAUAUAUAUUUUGUAUUUUGAAUUUUAGUUUAAAUUAAAAUAUUAAUUUUUUUUUUCAAAUAAUAUUUUAAUUCGGAAAUUUUUUUAUUUCAUUAUAACGAAAUAUAUUUAUUAGUUAUUUUAUUAAUCUUGUAAGAUCGUCGUAAAACAAAAUAAAACAGUACGACCGAAUUAUGACGAUAUAUUCGUCAUAUAAUAUACAACGUAUUAAACGACGAAUAUACGUCGGUGUUUUACAACGGUUUUACAUCGAACAUAAAAAAAAAACGACCGAUUUACGACGAAGUUUUUGUCAUACAUUAUACGACGAAUCUACGUCGGUUGUUAACGACGAUUUUACGUCGGUUAGGCUGAAAACCAAAUCGAUGUAAACUCGUCGUAAUCAUUACGUUCUAUUUACGACGUUCUAUUUACGACGAUGUUACGAUGAUUUUUAACCGUCCUAGAUUUUACGAUGAUUUUUUACGAAGAAAUGUCGUUUACGACGAUGAAUUUUCAACGGUUUAGAAACCGUCGCUAUUUUGUCAUAAUAGGGGUUUUACAACGAACUUACGACGGUUUCGGCCAUUGUAAAAUGCUGUUUUUCUUGUAGUGAUGGCCUCUGAUCUAUAGUGGAUUACAUAUCUUCUUCAUGAACUUGGUCAUUGUUCCACUUCCCAACCAGUGAUUUAUUGUGACAAUGUUGGUGCACAUACUUAUGUGCCAAUCCUGUUUUUUUAUUCUCGAAUGAAACAUGUUGGCCUGGACUAUCAUUUUAUUCGAGAGUUAGUACAAUCUGGAUUCUUUCAGGUUGCUCAUGUCUCCUCUAAAGACCAGCUUGCUGAUGCUCUUACCAAACCGGUCUCUCAUUUUCUCCUUACAGAUCACUUUUCCAAGAUAGGACUCUCUCUGAUUGCUUAUCUUGCAGGGGUGUAUAGAGAAAACGAAAUAAAUAUCUAAAUAUGUUUAUUUUCUUUUUAGAUAAGUCUACAAUAUUCUUUAUACCUACCUAAUUGUUAAUGUGGUAAAUAGCUUUGGAAAAUCUUAACGUGAAUAACAAAUAAAAAACAUAUUUCUCUACAGGUUUAAAGGGAGGAGCUUUGUUAGCUGGGAUCCUUGGGUUUGCAUCUUAUGUAUAUUCCUUGUAUAAUUCUAUCAAGAAAAAGGAAAUAGCAGGCCAAAGUGAAACAGUGAGAAUUUGAUAUGUGUAUUGUAAUUUUAUUUAUUCGAUGUAAUUGAUAAUAGUCGAUGCCGUCUACGUUCAGUGGUAGAGCGGAUGACUUUUAUUCCUGCGGCCAAUGGCUACAUGCUAAUAAAGGGCUUAUUACUCAUAGUAUUUUUUCGGGAUAAAUUCAAUUUUUCCUACGUGGACGAAUUAUGUGCUAGCAUGUGGCGUUCAUGACUUUUUGGCAGGUACGGCUUCCCGAGCCAAAUUAGGACUCGUAUUGGGCUUCCAGCCCAAUCCGGCCUAAGAAUAUAGCACUGGGCCGCGAAUUCAGUUGGAUUCCGGAGAUCCGGCACGAUAGGUCAUCUGUUUCCGGACUCUUUGUGACUGACAGUGCAGACCACACUAUCAGAAACAAAGAAGUCGGAAACUGAGUAGUCAUGAAGAGGAGAGGUCACAUUCUCUAUGUCCUACACCUAAAUUCAGUGAUCCGGAAAGGUCAGAAUAUAAAAAAAAAAAGUGGUCCCGCACAGGUAUCCGGAGAACAAAAUCUUCCGUCCACGGCAGGCUGGUCCCAGUAUCGAGAGAUCCAAGCCAGGUAUGAGUGAUCCAUUUGAGCGGGGAAACUAUUCGAAUUUCCCUCAAUUCAACAAUAUGAAUAUGCUUUAGCCUGAUUUGAUUUUCCAUCCUCUUACAAACCCAUGAGAAUGACAUUUAAUGUGUUUUUCAUACGUGAAUCACGUGAAAGUGACUUUUUGCAGGAGCCAGGGGGAAAAGCAGAGGUUCAGAAAAGAGCCAUACCGCGUCUGAGCCGCCGACCCAACUCGUAUACUGAGAACGAAAGGGACACGCCAAGAGACGGUCUCGCUACAGGCAGAACACGCCCAGGAAAAUUGGUGAGACCAUCAGAAACGUGUUGUCAUCAUAAAAUUCGAAUUCAGUUCAGUCGAGUCAUGGGCCGAUCCACCCGACCCGCCAUCUAUGGGGGUUCACACUCUUAGCCAUUUUAAAUCUCACGAUAUCUCUCUAGAUACAUGUGGUUCUUAAGUCUAGACACUUUACACAAUUCCGACAAUCUUUCCAGUCAUCUCACUUCAUUCCUCCUCCACGGCGGCUCCUAAACCAUUGAGCUCCUCCACUUUCAAACUUUUCUUUUCUUUUUUUUUACCUUAAAAAGUCUAUUCUCACUCCAAGACCCGAGUAGAUCCUACUUUUCUCAAGAACUCUCGGUUCAUAUUCCUUCACAAAGUUUUUCGACUUCUUUCCGCUCUCCGAACAGCUAUACUAUGGUCUUUUUUGAGCUGUUUACUGUCUUGAAUGUCGGAGUGCCUUCGGAAAACACACCCUCAUUGUGUUUUCCAGGCCUUGACGUCUUUGUAGUUUUACAAGAGACUUGCCCGCAGCAGAAGACUAAAAAUCUCCUAAAUAGUAUUAUUUUUUUAGUAAAACUAUAAAUAUAUAUAUAUAGCUUUGGCAUAUACUUAAUCGAGAAUCUUGAUACUAAAAUAGUUGAUUAUGUUAAACUCGAUAAGUAUCCGCAUAUAUAGAAAUUAUAAUUUAAUAUAUUAUUAUUUGUAAAAAUAAAAAAAAAUUCACCCGUGAAAAUAUAUAAUAUAUAAAUUUGAAAAUAAAGUUAUCAGAUAUCAUCAUAAUUUUUAAACACAAAAUAAUGAGACCAAAUAAUUAAAUCAAGACUAUUCAACUUGACUACACUAAUGUAAAAAUAACUAUUAUAUAUAUUAACCUAACAUGAGUAACAUGAAAAAAAUUUACUUAUAAUUUAUGAAUUAAAAAGAUUAGCAAAUGAAUUGUUGGUUGUGAGUUUUAAUCUAUUUUUUUUUAAUUUUUUUAAUACUAAACUGAAAUUCAAUUUUUUUUUUAUAAACUAUGGCUUUUACUCUUUUUAUUUAUUUUUUUUAAUUUGAACAUCAUUUUUUCUCUUUACUUUUACGAUUAGGAACUUGUUAAUUUUUUAAAAAUAAAAUUUGCUAAAAUAUAAUUAAAAAUUAAUUACUCACAUCUCAAAAUCUAAUCGUUUAACUUGACAUUGACAUGUAUCACGAUCAGAUUUUAAUAUGUGUUACUAACUUUAAAUCAAUGUUCUUUGUAUAAUAAGAUUUUGUUGUACUAAGUUCGCUUAGAUAGUAGCCAACCAGUGUAUGUCCAUUUCACUGAUAAUUCUACCAUUAUAUAAUUACAUGUCGCUUUUUUUUUUUUUCUAAGGUCUUAUUUUUCUUUUCACUCUUUAUUUAUUUUCCUUUUCUUGAGGUCUCCGUGUCCUUUGCCAAAACCCAACAAAAACUCGAAACCACCUUUAUAGUGACAGACCUAUAAACAUUUAUUAUUAUUAUUAUAUGUCAAACUAAAGAAAAUUUUGAAUAAUCAUAUGGAUAGAAAAUAUAGUUGGGUCACUGUUCAAAAAUUUUAGAGUGAAAAAUAGAGUUAGGUUAGAAUAAAUUUUACUUGUAGAAUAGAGUAGAAAUUUGCGUGAGGUUGGAGAUGAUAAGAUUAAAACGCUGGAAAACGGUCAAUUCAUGCUCGAACUGUUCCAAAUGGUACAAAUUAGUACUUAAGAAAUUUAGGUAUCUAAUUUCAUACCCAAACUCUACAAAAUUAGAAUAUUCAUAUUCAUAUUAUUUUUUUUACGAAAACAAACAUUAACCAACACUAUGUUAGACUGUUAGUCAAACCUGUAAAAUUGUUAACGACAAUAAAUCAACAAAAAUAGAUAAAACAUACAUUUUGCCAACUGGGCUAAAGGAACUUUCAUAGUAUCGACAUCAAAAAAUAUAUAUAGACACUAUAUUUUGUGGAACGGGUAAGAAAAAAACUUAAGCUAUGGCGUUUUGUUUGGUCGUCUUCUUCUUCAUCGAGAUCAUCUUCUUCAAAUCGGAGAAGAACAUUGGGCGCUAGGGUUUUUGGGAGUAUUCCAUGUCCCGUCUCUAAUUAACGAUGAAUUCAGCGUAGAUUUGGAACACUUCAUCGAGAAUCCCGUUUUCCUCUCACCCAAAAGGGCUCAAAAUAACAAGGAGAAAAUGGAAAUCGAAAAGCAAAAGCGAGGUUACAGAAUCCAAUGUAGCAAAACCCAACACAAGAACUUAUAUGAAAUUUAUAGAAAAAAAAACAACACAUAUUACAGAUCAAUUUUGUGGUUUUAUUGCGAGAAUCAUGUUAAGUUUCUUGGACUUCCAACUCAAAACCAAUUGGCAAUGAAUGGAUUGGCCCAAAUCCCUUAUAUAUUAGUGUUGUCUCAUCCCAACUUCUGAUGUGGGACAAUAUUCCUUCACACGUCCUCUCGAGAUGAUGGUUCUUUUAACCAUUCAUCUCGAAAGAAUUCUAAUUUAGGAUUAGUUUUAGGUUAGAUUGGCCGGACGAAUCUUUGGAUCGGGCCGAGAUAGUAGAAUGAUCACGACAUUUUUUUUUUUUAGGUCGAAUCGAGUAUUUAGGUAGAGAAUGGAGCUGUGUGUGUUUAGAAUGGAUCUGGACUCUGAUACCAUGUUAAGUUUCCUGGGCUUCCAAUUCAAAACCAAUUGGCAAUGAAUGGAUUGGCCCAAAUUCUUUAUAUAUUAGUCUUGUCUCAUUCCAACUUCCGAUGUGGGACAAUAUUCCUUCACAUUGCGAGAAUCAUGAUAAAAUGAUAAUGAAUGUUCUUAAUCCUGAUCUAUAUAAUGAAAAGUUGGAAAAAGUUAAGGUUCGCUGUCUAUUUGUUGUCUGUGUGUAUGUUUAAACUCAUAUAUCAUGUAAAAAUAAGUACUAUAAAAAAUUAAUCAAAGGUAAGUUCGAACAUGGUCGUAGUGCGAGUUGAAGAAGAUGGAGUUCCACGAAGACAAAGAAGAAAGUCGUCCUUUAAAUGGUCCACGAAAUAUUUUGUCUAUAAACUUUAUUUGUAAUCAACAUGCAACUUGUUUGUUUGACCCAAUUGGUAUGAAUUUUUUCCUUUGAGGUUCUCGGUUCGUGUUUAAAGAUGCGAGUGUGAGAUACUUUUUCUAUAAAAAAAAAAAUCUCCAAACGAUGUUGUUUUGCCAUUCUGGAUGCCAACUAAGAAGCAUAUGUGGAAGAUGAGUCAUUACCGUUAAACGAUUUUAUAAGUUUGAUUAACGGAGUGUUGGUUUUUGCCGAAAAAAAGUAGUACGAUAUGAAUAUUUCAAUUAUGUAGAGUCUGGGUAUGAUAUUGGACACCUAAAUUUCUUAGGUACUACCAUUUGGAAUAGUACGUGUAUGAGUUGGCCAUUUUUCCAUUAAAACAGUUAUACUUUGUGUUACAAAAGAAUAUAAAUACAAACAAAAUCAAGAGAAAAAAACAUGGUUAAGGUGCCAAAUGGAAAAGCUCUCAUUCAUGAGGAGUCAGAGAAAGAAUUUUACCAUCUAAUCCAACGAAAGCAGUAAUAUUUCAACCAUGAAACAAUUAAUAUGAGAUUUUACUGGUGUCACAUGACACCCCAUAACCCUAAGUAGGUCCGCCUCUGGUUCUUCUCUUGUAGUUAUUCAUCGGCAAUUUGGUUUGCUCUGGUCCAUGGAAUACUACAAAACGAUUACACAACAUAUUAACUGGCUCUUGUUCACUUCAUUUCCACCUCACACCAAGACUGCCUACUGAUAUGUUCAUCAUUCGCUACCUAUUCCAAGCCAUAACACACUCAAUCUGGGUGGGAAAAUAUGGACGCAAACAUGGAGAACCUCCAUCGAUAAUGCAGAGACUCAUCCAACUCAUUGACAAAACAAUGAGAAACCGCCUAAGCACCCUUCAAGCCGCAGGAGACAAACGCUUCGAAAGCGGACUGAUGCUAUGGUUCGCAACAAGAAGCACGUUUUAAACAUUUCCAAAAUGCAAAACAAAGUCAUUUAAUGUAACAAUGGUUUUUUUUGGUAUAUAACUUUUAUAUUCAUUCAAAUAAAAAGAAAAAAAAUCAGAAAUUACGUAGCAAUCCAAAACCGAAUGGCCUACAGAAAACAAUAGAAACAAAAAAAAUCAAUGAUAUUUGAGGUUAUCUUUUUAAAAAGAUUCUUUUAUAUGAUGCAAACGUAGUCCUAGGCUAGGCUCUUAGCUAAUAUUGUUUUGGUCGGAGUGAUUGUGUGGACCAAACAUAUAACAGAUUCACAUGCGAAGUGAAAUGACUUUUUGAUCUGUAGUAAUAUAUAACAUAACAUGAACCUCGUAUGGUUUCAUUAAUUUUCAAUGUGGACCAUCCUAACAGAAGAGAAGAAUGACCACUAAUCAGUUUAUAUGGUGGAAACUAUCCAAUGCCUAAAAUCAUGAUCAGGUCGACUCUUUCUUGUAAUUACCAUUAUUCAGUUGUUUCUUAUUUCCUAUAUAUAUAUAUAUAUACAUAUAUAUAUAUGUGUGAUUGUGUAGGUAGAGAUUUGUGGAACCGCAAGUGACUAAGUUGCGAGGACGAUUAAUUGCUACCGAGAACGUUUAGAAUGGAGAGUGAAGUCCAUCGUCCGAUAGCUGAUUAUCCACCGAAUAUCUGGGAAGAUCUCUUAACUACUUUCUCAAAUUAUGACCUCGUACGUAUAUCCUUUUCAUACUAUAUAUUUCUCUAUAAUUUUACUGUAUAUAGCCCUACUUUCUAACUUGAGAAGCGAUAAGUUUUGAAUCGAAUAUAAAAUAUGAGGAAACACAAUAUAUAUUACUCCUCUUUACUCGCCUAUAUAUAUUUUGAGUUGAUUCGCUUAUGUCUACAUCCUCAUAUAACUCCAUUGACAUAUAGGGAAGUGAUGAGACAUUGGAAGAGAAACAUAGUAUGCUAAAGGACGCUGUGAAUGAAUCUUUUUUGGCUUCCCUGGUGAAUCCGAUAGAGAAUAUUAAGUUCAUUGACACUUUAUGUCGCCUUGGCGUCUCCUAUCACUUUGAGAUAAACAUCUUAGAGCAAGUGGGGAAGUCAUUUGAUAGUCUUGAUUUUAAUCAGAUGAUAAGACAUGAUGGAUGCGAUUUAUACACUGUUGGACUAGUUUUCCAAGUUUUCAGGCAAUUCGGUUUCAAACUUCCCGCAGGUAAUUAUCUUAUUCUAUUUUAUAAUUACAAUAAGCUCUACAUAAACGGGGGUUUAUAGUUAAUUAUUUCAAAUCCGUAGAAAAAAUACUAAAAACGCAAAAAUGGAAAAAAAAAAAUCUGAUUACUCGUGAAUGAGCGAGGGGGGAGGGGGGAGAGAGAGAGUGAUGACUUGGGAAUGAGCGAGGAAAAAGAUUUGGGUGAUCUUAUGAUCAUCGUUGUUAAUUAAUAAUGAAUUUUUGACAAUUAGUUGUGAAAUCUUUGAAGUUUUAACCAAAUUUCCAACCAAUUAAAUUUCUCGCAUGCAGCAAAAUAAUUAAAAUUUGAACUAUACUGAUCAAUUUAAAAUGAAUUAUCGUAAAUCUGUUAUCAGUUAACGACUAAUUUACAAUGAUUCAUCUUAAAAUCGUCGGUCUAAUUUGUUUCUGUAGUGGUGGAAAAACAAAAUAUUUACUGUUUUACAAAAAAAAUGAUAAUCAUUUUUUUUCUUAAAUUAUUAAUUUUAAAUUUACAAUAAUUUAACUCUUUUCUAGUAACUUUAUUUUUUAAUAUUAAUAAUCAGUUAUAAAUUUUUUCGAAAUUUUUAAUUUUUUAUUAACUUUGGUUUUAUGAAAUUUCUAUAUUUUUAUUUUUCCUUUUUAUUUGGUGGCUUUAAUAUUAGAAUUAUGAAUCAUUUUUUUUUUUCAUUUUAUAGUUAGUAUUAUGUGGUACAAUCUUAUUUAUAAUUUUUAUAUACGUGUCAAAAUUUUAUCAAUCAACUUAAUACAUAACGUUGACAAAAAAAAAAAAAAACUAAAUACAUAACAUGUAUUAGGUGAAUGAAGAGAUUAAAAACAUUCAACUUUAUAUACUAAGAUAUAUGGCUGUUCCCAAAAAAUAUAUAUACAUAUACUAAGAUAUAUGAAUGACAAACACAAGAAACUUUGCAUGGUUUUCGCUAGAUGUAUUUGAGAAGUUCAGGGAUGGAGAUGGGAAGUUUAAAGGACACUUAGCCGCAGACGAAUACGGUAUUCUAAGCUUGUAUGAAGCUGCACAAUGGGGUACACAAGGAGAAGGCAUUAUUGACGAAGCUCUCGCCUUCUCAAGCCAGUAUUUAAAAGAAUUUUCUUCUCGAUCAAACAACCAUCUCACAAUACGCAUAAAAAAUGCCCUUAAACAUCCCUACCACAAAGGCAUCUCAAGGAUAGAAACAAGACAAUAUAUCUCAUACUACGAGGAAGAAGAGUCGCAUGACGCAACAAUCCUUGAGUUUGCAAAGAUAGAUUUUAAUCUGCUACAGACGUUACAUCGCAAAGAGCUUGCUUGCGUCACAAGGUAAACUAUCCCAGCUACUCGAUACAUAUAUACAACCUUUGUCUUGCAUGAACUUGAGCUUCUUUCAUUACAUUUCAGGUGGUACAAUAAAACGGAAAUUGAAACUAAAGUAACAUAUUCCAGACAUAGAAUAGCAGAGGCGUACUUGUGGUCACUUGGAGCAUAUUUCGAGCCUCAGUAUUCUCAAGCACGAGUUAUAACAGCUGUUGCACUAAUCCUAUUCACAGCGCUUGAUGAUAUGUAUGAUGCGUAUGGCACAAUGGAGGAACUAGAGCUUUUCACAGAUGGAAUGGAAAAGUACUCCAUUUGCAAAUAUUUAAACUAUGUAAUAUGUAUCAUAGAUUUUAAGUUCCUUAUGGCUAUGACUUAUACAGUGGAUGGCUCCAACGCAGGUGGCUUCCUGUUGCCCCGAACGGGAUACCUGAGAGCAUGAAGCACAUUUACCGUGUCACGGUAGGUUUCUAUGAUAAACUCGAAGAGGAACUUGAGAAGGAAGGAAGGUCUGGUUGUGGCUUCCACCUUAAGAAAUCAGUUAAGACCCCACAAGAAUCAACCUUAUUGUUCCUUAUAUAUAUUCAAACCUAACGGAUUCUUCAUAAUUAGUUGAAAACAACAGCGAAUGGAUAUAUGCAAGAGGCAAAGUGGUUGAAAAAUAAUUACAUUGCUACAUUUGACGAGUAUAAAGAGAAUGCAAUCUUGUCUUCUGGUUAUUAUCCCUUGAUAGCCAUGACAUUCGCGGGAAUGGGAGAUGUCGCAAAACUUGAUGCUUUUGAAUGGUUAAGCUCAAACCCUAAAAUUAGGGUAGCUUCUGAGAUAAUCAGCCGAUUCACGGAUGACAUAUCUAGCUACGAGGUGAACACAUAAAAUUUAUCUUUUAUUUCCAUGUUUUUAAUCCUUUCGUGGAUUAGCCACGAAGCUAUAGCUAAGAAGAAAAAAACAUGUGGCUAUAGCUUUGGUUUUUUUUAGCACAUGUUUUUUUUCUUCUUAGCUAUAGCUUUGUGGUUAAUCCACAAAAGGAUUAAAAACAUGGAAAUAAAAAGCUAAAACCAUGGUUUUUUAAAUAGCCAUGAAAACUUUGUAGCUAAUCUGUAGCUAUACACAUAAUGUUUCUCGAAUUGAAUACAUGUAAUAUAUGUAUAUAUUGUGGUUGCAGUUUGAACACAAAAGGGAGCAUGUAGCAACGGGUAUUGACUGCUAUAUGAAGCAAUUUGGUGUUUCAAAGGAACAAGCCGUGGAAGCAAUAGAUAACAUUGUUUCAGAUGCAUGGAAGGACUUGAACCAAGAGCUAAUGAGGCCUCACUCAUGUCCUUUCCCUCUUCUGAUGCGAUUUCUUAACCUUUCGCGUGUCAUCGAUGUCUUCUAUAGGUACCAAGAUGCCUACACCCACCCCGAGUUCUUGAAAGAGCACAUCGUAUCUUUGUUCAUUGAAAAUAUACCUAUUUAAGAACUAGUGCUGACUUUUUUCCAAUCCAUGGAAUAAUUCAGUACACAAUGAUGGUCAGAUAAAUCUAUAUACUUAUUUGUGUAGUGAUUUGCAGAUGUGCUGUGCUCACAACGAGUUUCAUAAUGUUUCGCUUACGUGUUACCGCCAAAAUGAGUUUUGGCUGCAAAAAGACAGUUUUAUCCUAUUUAGCUAUUACAUAUCAUUUUUAUUGGUUCUAAUGUGAUGAUGUGUUAAAAGUAACUUAAAACAAACCACUCUAAAUUAUUAUGGUUUAAUGCUUAAUUUCGCUGUCAAAUAAAACCGAUUCUAAAAUUUUAUAAAACCAAAAUUUUUUAAAAGAUUCUAACAAAAAAGUAAAAAAAGGAAUAUAUACAUAUAUAUAUAUAUAUAUCUAACUAAUGGAAUGUCGUUAAAAAAAAUGAAAUCAUCUCUAACUAAUAGAAUGUCGCUUAUUUGUAUAGUAGUUUGCUUAGGUGUCGGCUCCACAGCGAGUUUCAGAAUGUUUUGCUUACGUGUUAUCUCCAGAAUGAGUUUCUGCUGUUAAAAGAUCUUUAAACCCCAUUUUUAUUACAUGCCAUUUUUUACUGGUUCUUAUCUGAUGAUGCGUUAAAAUAAUUUAAAACAAACCGCUCUAAAUUAUUGUGGUUUAAUGCUUCAUUCCGUUGUCAAUCAAAUCGUUUCUAAAAUUUUAUAAAAAUAAAAUCUAACAAAAAAUCAAAAAUCAAAAAAUAGUCUAAUAGAAUGACGGUAUUUGUGAUUUCUAGAUUAGGGCUUUCGACUUCAAAUAUUUUAGUAUAAAUAUAUACGAUUUCUUUCUAAUUCUCUCAUACCCUUCUAAAUUAUUUAACUUCUUCUUUUAAAAAAAAAAAGUUUGUACUAUAGUUCAAAAAACUAUGUCUAAAAUACAUAGAAUAGUGACCAAAAUUGAAUAAAUUUGUAUGGUACUUCAAAAAAUUAUGUCUAAAAUACAUAGAACAGUGAUCAAAAUAUCUCAAAACUAUUUAAACUAAAUUAUUUGGAUGCUAAUAUGUUUUUAUCUAUUAUCUUAUAUGCUGUUUUCACAAUCAUAUCUUCAAACAUUAAAAUACAAAAAAAUCUAACAAACAAACUCAACAAUAGAGAAUAAAAAACAAAUGAAUCUAAACUACUAUUAGAUUUUCAAACAAACAAUUGAAAAUUAUAUCAGUCCGCGCAAGGCGCGAAAAAGUUCACUAGUUUCUGUUAUUGAACCAUGUCGUGUCAACUUGUUGUCAUAUAUAUAUAUAUAUAUGUAUUUCUGUACAAAACUAUUGAUCAUAGUUUUUAUUAAAUAAAAAGAUUGUGAGUAGAAAUAUCAAGAUUAUUAACUAUUUAAUCCCAUGAAAAAAAUACGAUGUUGAUUCGAUAAUCGUUGGAGUAAAUGGGUGAGCCGCGAACCGUGACAAUGCUAAUAGCUAAUUGAAACGUUAAAAAAAAAUUAUUUGAAAAUGAAGACCAAAAACUGCAAAUUGUUGAUCAAAUUGGCUAAAACAAAAGCUGUUGAUAAGUUAAAUAUAAGCAUAAAAAAGGUGAGAAAAACGUUAUACAACUCAUAAUAAUUAUGGAACUUGAAAUAAUUAAAAAUUUAAAGUGAUACAUAAUCGGACAAAAACAACCUCAAUCUGGCCAUGGAAACUUAUUCAAAAUGGUGUUAGCAACGAGUUAGAAAGGCCCUAUGAUUUACGAAUUAUUUUAUUCUAUUUUAUUAUUUGUGUUCUGUCUUCCCACAAUAUAUUCAAUUUCGUGUGGAAAUAGUUUGUUUUAGAUUAGUUCGAAGCAUUACGUACGAAUUGAACUACGAACAAAUCUUUUUAAACAAUAGAAAACAAUAUUUGUAGAUAAUGUGCACCGCGUUGAAUUGCUUUAUAUUGGCUGGCAUGUUUGACUAUAUAUACUUUAAUUUUGCUUAUUUCACUGUAUAUCUUUUUUUUUUGAAUGAAUGUUAAAUUUUAUUCAAACAAAAAAAGAACGUUUCUACAUCUUCAAUGCGAGCAGUUAAUUUGCAAAGGCCAAAAACAAAAAAUUUUCUAAAGCAUUAAAAAAAAUUUUCCUUGCGUCUGCGUCCUUGCUAUGUCGAGAGAGAGAUAGUGGCAAACCACCUUUGUAGUCCCCCUUCAUAUUUGGUAUCUCCGAGCAGCCGAAUCGAGCUGAACCUGUUGCGAACUCCUUUGUCAAUGAGUUUAACCAUCCUAAGCCAUUCCGUUGGCGGUGAGCCAUGUCGCCUUGCAUUCCUUUCUCGCCAAAUAGCAUAGAUAGUAUGCUGGAACAGAUACCUGAUGAUGAAACUAUCCUCCAGAUUCCUUUGGGUGCACGAAAUUCUAUUUACUAGAGCAUUCCAUUCAACCGUAUAAUCAUGUUGCAGAAUUCCCCUUGACAGCUUUGACCAUAUCCUCGCCGAGUAAGAACACGUGAAGAACAGAUGGUCGCGUGUUUCAAGAGGAUCAUUGCAGAAUGUACAUCCUGCGUGAGCAUUUGAACUCCAUGUUUGCAUGCGGUCCCCCGUCGAAAGACGAUUGAGCAAGGCUAACCAGGUAAUGAAGUUGAACUUCGGGUGAUGAUGUUUAAACCAUAUCCCUUUAGCCCAAGAAACUUUCGGGUUAUGCUGUGUAAGCUGAGUCCUCGUCGCUCUAGUACUGAAAAUACUCUUGUAGGAAGUAUCUUUUGAUUUCCACAAGAAAACAUCCGACUCUGCUGCUUGAUAUCUCUGUUUAACCACAUCGAUAGCAUCCUCCACCUGAUUUAACAUUGAGUUCCGGUGUCUUCUUCGUCUAGUGAGAAUCACUUCUUCCAUUGUAGAGUUGUGUGGAAUACCCAAGUCUACACACCCCCGAGCCCCAAAGAUAGACAACAAGUUCCCCAUUGAAGACCAUUUGUCAUACCAGAAUAAGGUCUGUUGACCAUUGUGUACCUCCACCUUGACGAAUUCCUCAGCUAACUCCCUGCUUCGUAGGAUCUGUUUCCACAUCCAGGAGCCUGGAGACUGAUUUGUUGGACUAGGUGUUAACCAAAUGGAAUUUCCUCGCAUCAGGCUCGAUCUCACCCAUUGAACCCAUAAAGAUUGGCUCGCCGUCAUAAGUCUCCACACCAGCUUCAGAAUACAGACCUCAUUCGCUAUGCUUAGGUUCUUUAGGCCUAAACCACCCUCCUCCUUUGCCUUACAAACAUCAAUCCACGCCACCUUUGCUCGUCUUGGGUUAAGAUUAGCCCCCGACCAAAGAAACCCCGAGCAUAGACUGUUAAUUUUUCGAUGCAACCUUUUGGGAGGCGAAAAGAAGACAUCCAAAAAUUAACCAAACUUGCAAUUACAGAUGAGAGAAGCUGUAGUCUUCCAGCAAAUGUCAGACUCCUUGCUGUCCAAGUAUUAAAACGGCUUCUUAUCUUGUCAAUGAGAGGAGAGUAAUCAAGAGAUCGCAUCUGCUUUGUUAGAAGGGGAAGACCCAGAUAUCUAACUGGCAAAGUACCAAUCUCAAAAGAGAAUCUCUGCCUUAUGUCUUGCCUUGUCGCAUCAGAAACUCCAGCCAUAUAAGCAGUUGACUUCUCUGCACUAAUUUGCAGACCUGACAUUGUCGAGAAUUCCUCAAAAACAUGGAGAAUACCCUCCAUCCAUCGCAGCUUACCGUCUGAGAAGAUCAUAAGAUCAUCCGCAAAACAGAGGUGAGUGAGCUUUAGAUUCGAACACCUUGGAUGAAAACCAAAUCUCCUUGCCAUUGCCGCCUUAUCAAGCUUGUAUGAGAGCACACUCAUACAUAUAACGAAUAAAUAAGGAGAAAGAGAGCAUCCUUGUCGUAAUCCCCGAGAGCCUCCAAAGUACCCAGAUAAUUCUCCAUUGACCUGGACAGAAAACGAGGCUGUCGAGAUACAAAGCCGAAUCCAGUGAACAAAAGCUUGAGGUAGGUCCAAAGCUUCUAACACUGUCAAAAUAAAACUCCACUCAACAGAAUCAAAAGCCUUGGAGAUGUCUAUCUUAAGAGCACAUGUAGAUGAGAUCGUGUUUCUAUCAUAUCCCGAAACCAGUUCCGACGCUAAAAGCAGGUUCUCCAUCAGAAGUCUGUCCUGAACAAAAGCAGACUGGUUUGGAGCGAUAAACAAUGACAAGAUCACCUUCAGACGGUUCGCAAGGAUCUUCAAAAUGAUCUUAUAGAUCACAUUGCAACACGCAAUAGGUCGAUAGUCCUUCAUGUGCUUAGCUUGCUCUUUUUUCGGUAUCAACGCAAGAAUUGUAGAAUUAACCCCCUUCGGAAGAAAGCCUUUUAAGAAAAAAAAUUGAAUCCCUACCACCAUAUCUUUCCCUAUUAUCGGCCAACACUCUUUGAAGAACUCAACCGUAUAACCAUCCGGACCAGGAGACUUGUUUGCAGCCAGAGAAAACAAAACAGCCUUGAUCUCAGACUCAGUAACUUCAGCGACAAGAUUUUGUUGAUCAACAGGUGAGCAACGAUAAUCAAUCAGAUCCCUAAUCUCAUCAAUCGAAACCUGAUGAAUAUUAGUCGGAUGAUGAUUCAAGAAGGAGUUAAAAUGAUUAGCAGCCUCUGCUUUAAUUUCCAUCGAUCCCAUUACCAUUGUCCCAUCCUGAAGCUGCAACUCCCUAAUACCAUUUCUGAUUUCUCGUAUCUUCAUUGCCCGAUGAUAUACUUUGGUGUUCUUAUCGCUUGCGUUUAACCAGUUUAGCUUAGACUUUUGCGCUAAAUAACGCUCCUCAAGGUUGGAUGAAUGUUCCCAUUGUUUAAAAGCUUCGCUUUCCUCCCUCUGAGAUAUAGCUGUGGGGUUCUGCAGAUGUUGCUCCUGCUUAGAACACAAGGUUUCAAAAUUCGAUUUCACCCUCAAAGAAAUUCCCUGCAGCGCUUCUCUUGAUACCCUCCUGACUACUGGCUUUAGGUUUUUCAGCUUUUUUGAGAAUCUAAACAAGGCAGAGGUUGAAUGAAACAGGGGAGUCGUCUAACCCCUGCAAAGCCGUUUGGAACUCUGGUAACUUUGCAAUCACGUUUGUGAACUUAAAUGGCCGUUUCUUUCUCGUCAUUUCUCCAUCGACAUAGAACCUGCACCGAAGAUGAUCAGAACCUCCUCCUGCUUCAAAAACACAGUAUGAGUUUGAGUUAUUGUCUAGCCAGUGAUCAUUCAUCAGCAAUCUGUCCAGUUUCUUGCAAAUAAGACCUUCCUCUCUCUUAUUACACCAAGUAAAGCACGGUCCAUGAAACCCCAUAUCACUCAAAUCAGCUUCUCGAACCAGGUCCUGAAAAUCCCACAUUCCAGACGCCGAAACAGAGCCCUCGCCAUCGCCCGAAUGUUCAUCUAUGGAAAGGAUCUCAUUGAAAUCCCCCAUAACUAACCAGCGCAUUCGUCUAUAGAUGGGAGAAGAAAAAUGACUCCUCAAAUCAUCCCAAAGCUCCCUCCUAUCAUCGGCGAAAUUUGAACCAUAAACAAAAGAACAUAGAAACUCCUCCUCUUUGUCUUGCAGCUUUACUAACACUGUAAUCAUUUGACUACUACUGAACACUGGAGUUAAACGAACAGCAUCAUUCCAAAGCACCCAAAUUCUGCCCAAACGGUGGUGACCAUAGUUAUUUAAAAAAGACCAGCCCAGGAACACCUCGGACACCACCUUAUACGCCUUAUCCUCCUUAACUCGAGUCUCAAUUAGACACCCAAACAUAAACUCAUUUUCUCUACACCAACUUUUCACAAUGUUUUGUUUCUUUUUUUUGUUAAACCCUCUUAUAUUCCAGAAGAAUCCAGACAUUAAUUUUUUGAAUUGGUGGCUUUCUUUCUGUUCCUCCUCUUCCUACUCGUACUCUGAGGAGACGAGCUGGAUGUUGGCUGAACAAAUCUGUGUACUGACUUGGAUUCGCGAGGCAGAGAAACUCUUCCUCCAGCAUUAGUCGUAGCAACUACCUUCUCCAGUUGGGAAGACCCUUUAGACUUCUCUUGAUCUAGGUCUUUCCCCACCAAAGGAUCAUAUAUAUACAUCACUAAUACAGUACAUAAAUUUAAUUAAAUAAAUACAUAUAUAUGAUGCAAAGUCAUGGUCUCUUUUUUGCCCGAAAAAAAAGAAGGUCAUGGUCUCUUUCUUUGUUCCUUUCUAUAUAUGAGCAAAUUCCAUCUUAGACUGUUCUGUACAAAUUACUGAAAACAAGGUAACCUUUUCAUCAAAACCCUAUAGCCUGUUCUUCACAAGAAAUUUUCAUGGGCUUCCACAACAAAUUUUUGGACGGAAUAACACAAGAUAUACCUACAUAUAUAUAUAUAUAUAUAAAUUCAUGUCACAACGAUAAUGUAUUAAUUCGUAUAAACUAAAUAUAUAAUUUGUUAGAAUCCCAUAUCGGAAGUUUAAAAAUAUUAACAUUAAUAUCUAAGAGACUUGGGUCUCUGCACUUAUCGCCAAUUGGUUUUAAGUUGGAAGCUCAGGAAAUUUAACAUGGUAUCAGAGCCUUGUUUGUUGACCAAGUGGCCCAAAAAGGGUUUAUUAUCGGUCCUAAAGUGGGAUUUGGUUCGAGAUGGGCUGAUAAAAGCCAUCAUCUCGAGGGGGCGUGUUAGAAUUCCAUAUCGGAAGUUUUAAGGGACUAACACUAAUAUAUAAGAGACUUGAACCUCCCCACUUAUCGCCAACUGGUUUUAAGUUGGAAGCCCAGAAACCUUAUCAUAAUUUAUGUUGCUUGGUUUAGAAGGAGAAGAAGAUACUAUUAGAGUUGAGAAUCAACCUAGAGCUCUACUUGAUCGGUCACAAAUUUUCAAGACACGAAACUGGUGGAUCUGGAUCUUUUUCAGUUCGGGUUUGGUCUUCUAAACAUGCUUCAUCCACACUUCUUCUAAACUUAUACUUCAUUCAAACAGGAAGAGAUGUUUGUGAUGACCCAAAACAGUUUAAAGGCACAUGGCUUCAAUCUAUGGUCCAAAAUGCUGCAUUUCCAUUUACAGCCUUUCUUCUCCUCUUAUGGCGUUUUUUAUUCUCCAACCAUAGAGAAACAAACUCUCUCUUCAUACUCUUCUUAUUAUUCUUCUUGUUCUUCUUUUGGCAAACUCUUUCUUCUUCACAUCUCCCUCGGUGUGCUUUUUGCUGCUUAUAGUCAACUCUAUGCAAUUGAAAGAACGCAUUGUGUGUUCUUCUUUUGGAUCUUUACAACACAAGUGGUUAUUUACAGCAAUUAUCAACAAACAAAAAUUAUCAUAUCAUCCAUCAUCCUUUGUGGAGUUCCCAUAGGCAUAACAUCUUCAGAUGAUGCCUAUUAUCCUUGUGAAGGUGAAGGCUGGAAAAUGAGUUAUGGUGUGUGGUGCGCCUUCUUUGGCAUGGUAGCCUUCUCUUUAUCUCUAUGUAUCAUGCAAUUAAGGUUCCAAAAGGUCAUACCUAACAGAGAGAGUAAAGUUUCCGCGGUCCUGAAGAUGCAAACCAACGCUUCUAUGAUUGCAACGUUGAUAUGUUUGGUUGGAUUAUUUGUAAGCCGAGAAUUCAAAGAUAUCAAGGAAGAUUUUGAGACGUUUAAGCAGGGGAAACCGUUAUACGUUUUGAGUCUAAUUGGAUUAUCACUUGCGUGGCAAGUAAUGCCUUUAGGGCUUGUGGGUCUUGUGUGUUUGGCUUCUUCUCUUUUCUCUAAUGUCGUCAGCUUCGGCGCUACACCUUUAGCAAAUAUCCUCGUUGUGGUGGCGUUUAGGUUUAUGGACGAUGACAUUGAAUGGUUUAAGGGAGGAGCUUUGUUAGCUGGGAUAAAGAUGUAUAUUUCUUGCACAAGUCAAUCAAGAAAAAGGAAAUGGCAAGCCAAAGUGAGACAGUGAGAGUUUGAUUAAUAAUAUGUAUGUAUAUAGAAAGUGUGUAUUGUGAUACGAUUAAUUUGAUCUAAUUAUAAAUACUUCACACAAUUUUCCAAAGCCGUCUUAGCUCAGUGGUAUAGCGCGUGACUUUUAAUCUCGUGGCCGUGGGUUCGAUCACCACAGAUGGUGCGUGACUUUUAUUCUUAGUAUAGCAUUUUUAGAGAAAAAUGCCAUUUAAAUCUCAAACUUUUAAAUUUAGGCCAAUUUAAUCAUGAACUAUCGGCUAGACCCUUUGAACUACAAAGUUAUAUUAAUUUUUUCUUUAAAUCCCUAACUUUGUUUGACUAAGCCAAAAAGAAGCCCGGCGUUAAUUUGAUUAACAGACCCAACUAACGGGGUUAACUCCUCUAUUAAGUUUCUGUUAAAUCAAAACGACAAGCUUCCACAAACAUAAAUCUCAAAUCGAAAUUUUUUAACCCUAAAUCAUAAAAUUAAUUUUCCCCUAAAUCAAAAUCUUCUUCUCCAAUUCCGUUGAUUGAGAUAUCGAUUAGCUCAUAGAAAUUUCGACUCUUGUCUCUCUCUAUCUCCUCUCCUCUUUUACUUCCUGAAUCGAUGAAUUCUUCUUCUGAACUAUCUGGUAUCGUCGAAAUCGUGGAUUGCCUUGGAAGUGUGACCUGUAGAUUUUGAUGUCAUAUCGAGUUUUUAAGGAGUACCGUAGGACCGCAAGCUUGAAAUCAUCAGCAGAGUUGAACGUUUUCCCUAACACUAGCAGCUCCUCGGGUUCUUCGAGCUCUCUCUGCCUUUCUCUUCUUUCUGCUUUCUCCUCGUCGUCGUCAUCAGAGUCGGAUGAUAGUGGAUCGGGGAUCUUCUCAUCAUCCCAUACAUCACUGUCUUCAUCAACCCCAGCAUCUUCAUCUCUAGCUGCUUCUCCAAAAUAUUCCACUCGCAUCGUUCUUCUGGAAGCACUUCAGCAUUUUUAUCUUCUUCUUCUACUCUUGCAGCAUUCGUAUCUUCUUCUUCAUCAACAGCUUCAUCAUCAGCCUCAUUGAAAUCUUCAUCACCAACAACCGCACAGUCAUCUCCAGGUACAAUGUCACGUUCAAGCUCAUCUUCCCCGCCUUCAAUUGCAACCUGAUCCUCAACUUCGGGUUCUUUACUUCGACAUGAUGAACUUUUCUUACGCUUACUUUUCGGCAUGAUGAGAUUGAGAAAGACGGAUACGAACGAGGUAUAUGAUUUUGAUGAGAGAAUCGAAAUUGAUUUUGGAAUUAAGGUAGGUGUGGAAUCGAUUUUCUGAGAAAUCGAUUCAGUAAUUAGAGUUUGCGAGUUGAUUUAUUUGGGGAUUUCAGAAUUUUUUUAAUUAGCAUUAAGCUUGUCAUUUUGAUUUAACAGAAGCGUUAAAAGGAGUUAACCCUGUUAAAUGGAUCUGUUAAUCAAAUUAACGUUGGGCUUUUUUUGGCUUAGUCAAACAAAGUUAUGGAUUUAAAGAAAAAGUCAAUAUAACUUUGUAGUUUAAAGGGUUCAACCAAUAGUUCAUGAUUAAAUUGACUGAAAUUUGAAAGUUGGGGAUUAAAAUGGCAUUUUUCCCAGCAUUUUUAGCAAAGAAAUCAAUUCAAUUUAGUUUCAACGAGGAGCAAUAAAAAUGAGAACAGUAUUAGUGAAACUUGUUAAAAAUUAACAAUCUUUUCAUACAAAAAUUCUACCAAUAAUCUCCACAAGAGCAACUACCAUCUCUAAAAUGAUGAAACCUCUUGUUAUCUCUUACAAUGAACUCUUUAUCUUCAAUACUCGACAAUAUCUUUAUGAAGUUGUGACAAUCCACAUCCUCAAGUUCUUCAUCACCCUUAUCGUCGUCCCAGGAGGCGUGUUUAUAAGCCCGAAAGCAAUAGCUAACCGUUCACUGUGAUGCAUCAAUGCUUUCUCUUUAGCUUCUUCAUCGAUAUCAUGAAGAACAUACUUAGUCUCUGGUACAUAGCCUGCGUCUCUCACUUCUUUUCCUAAAGCAGAGAAGCUUUCUUUGGAGGUGAAAAAUUUACAGUGUGGAGAGAGAAAUAGAGAGAGACCAAACAAACUCUCAUACACUGUACACAUAUCUACAAAUAAGCAGACAAGGUCACAAACAGCCAAACAAAAUCCUCUGUUUUCUUAUUAGCACCAGGUCCACAAAAAGUUUCCUGCAUAACCCAAAAACUCAUAAAUCAUAUUUUAGAUGUGUAACAAGAAUCAUUGAAGCAUUAGUGCAAAAUGCUAACUGAAGAACAUUGAUAGAGACUGCAAGGAUCCUUUACCAUUCCAAGUCAGAAUACUACUUUAGAUCUGAAGCUGGAAAACUAAUGAACUAUAUCUAUCAAACCCUGUUUAGGUCUUUGAACGGAGACAAAGAUAUCCCUGAAACUGAUGACAAUUGGCUACUCGGGUUCUUCAAUGAGGAGUUUAGGAUCCAAGUUAGGCUUAUAAACUUGACGAUGG
rnacentral:lncRNA from 1 species